UACGUAGGGGGCAAGCGUUGUCCGGAUUUAUUGGGCGUAAAGAGCGUGUAGGCGGCCAGGUAGGUCCGUUGUGAAAACUCGAGGCUCAACCUCGAGACGUCGGCGGAAACCCUCUGGCUAGAGUCCGGAAGAGGAGAGUGGAAUUCCUGGUGUAGCGGUGAAAUGCGCAGAUAUCAGGAAGAACACCCGUGGCGAAGGCGCCGCUCUGGGCCGAGACUGACGCUGAGGAGCGAAAGCGUGGGUAGCAAACAGG
rnacentral:rRNA from 1 species